rnacentral:rRNA from 1 species
GGGUUGUGAGGUUAAGCGACUAAGCGUACACGGUGGAUGCCCUGGCAGUCAGAGGCGAUGAAGGACGUGCUAAUCUGCGAUAAGCGUCGGUAAGGUGAUAUGAACCGUUAUAACCGGCGAUUUCCGAAUGGGGAAACCCAGUGUGAUUCGUCACACUAUCAUUAACUGAAUCCAUAGGUUAAUGAGGCGAACCGGGGGAACUGAAACAUCUAAGUACCCCGAGGAAAAGAAAUCAACCGAGAUUCCCCCAGUAGCGGCGAGCGAACGGGGAGCAGCCCAGAGCCUGAAUCAGUGUGUGUGUUAGUGGAAGCGUCUGGAAAGGCGUGCGAUACAGGGUGACAGCCCCGUACACAAAAAUGCACAUACUGUGAGCUCGAUGAGUAGGGCGGGACACGUGGUAUCCUGUCUGAAUAUGGGGGGACCAUCCUCCAAGGCUAAAUACUCCUGACUGACCGAUAGUGAACCAGUACCGUGAGGGAAAGGCGAAAAGAACCCCGGCGAGGGGAGUGAAAAAGAACCUGAAACCGUGUACGUACAAGCAGUGGGAGCACGCUUAGGCGUGUGACUGCGUACCUUUUGUAUAAUGGGUCAGCGACUUAUAUUCUGUAGCAAGGUUAACCGAAUAGGGGAGCCGAAGGGAAACCGAGUCUUAACUGGGCGUUAAGUUGCAGGGUAUAGACCCGAAACCCGGUGAUCUAGCCAUGGGCAGGUUGAAGGUUGGGUAACACUAACUGGAGGACCGAACCGACUAAUGUUGAAAAAUUAGCGGAUGACUUGUGGCUGGGGGUGAAAGGCCAAUCAAACCGGGAGAUAGCUGGUUCUCCCCGAAAGCUAUUUAGGUAGCGCCUCGUGAAUUCAUCUCCGGGGGUAGAGCACUGUUUCGGCAAGGGGGUCAUCCCGACUUACCAACCCGAUGCAAACUGCGAAUACCGGAGAAUGUUAUCACGGGAGACACACGGCGGGUGCUAACGUCCGUCGUGAAGAGGGAAACAACCCAGACCGCCAGCUAAGGUCCCAAAGUCAUGGUUAAGUGGGAAACGAUGUGGGAAGGCCCAGACAGCCAGGAUGUUGGCUUAGAAGCAGCCAUCAUUUAAAGAAAGCGUAAUAGCUCACUGGUCGAGUCGGCCUGCGCGGAAGAUGUAACGGGGCUAAACCAUGCACCGAAGCUGCGGCAGCGACGCUGAUGCGUUGUUGGGUAGGGGAGCGUUCUGUAAGCCUGCGAAGGUGUGCUGUGAGGCAUGCUGGAGGUAUCAGAAGUGCGAAUGCUGACAUAAGUAACGAUAAAGCGGGUGAAAAGCCCGCUCGCCGGAAGACCAAGGGUUCCUGUCCAACGUUAAUCGGGGCAGGGUGAGUCGACCCCUAAGGCGAGGCCGAAAGGCGUAGUCGAUGGGAAACAGGUUAAUAUUCCUGUACUUGGUGUUACUGCGAAGGGGGGACGGAGAAGGCUAUGUUGGCCGGGCGACGGUUGUCCCGGUUUAAGCGUGUAGGCUGGUUUUCCAGGCAAAUCCGGAAAAUCAAGGCUGAGGCGUGAUGACGAGGCACUACGGUGCUGAAGCAACAAAUGCCCUGCUUCCAGGAAAAGCCUCUAAGCAUCAGGUAACAUCAAAUCGUACCCCAAACCGACACAGGUGGUCAGGUAGAGAAUACCAAGGCGCUUGAGAGAACUCGGGUGAAGGAACUAGGCAAAAUGGUGCCGUAACUUCGGGAGAAGGCACGCUGAUAUGUAGGUGAAGCGACUUGCUCGUGGAGCUGAAAUCAGUCGAAGAUACCAGCUGGCUGCAACUGUUUAUUAAAAACACAGCACUGUGCAAACACGAAAGUGGACGUAUACGGUGUGACGCCUGCCCGGUGC